UAUGGUCAUAUCAUGUUGAAAUACCGGUUCUCGUACAAUCAACUAAGUUAAGCAACAUCGAUCCUGGUCAGUACCUAGAUUGGUGACCGCUUGGGAACGCCAGGUGCU